rnacentral:rRNA from 1 species
UUCCGGUUGAUCCCGCCGGACCUGACUGCUAUCGGAUUGAUACUAAGCCAUGCAAGUCUUUGUAGUAAUACAAGGCAUACGGCUCAGUAACACGUAGUCAACCUACCCUAUGGAUGGGGAUAAUCUCGGGAAACUGAGCAUAAUACCCAACAGAUCAUCAAUUCUGGAAUGGUUGAUGAUUCAAAUGAUUUUUCGCCAUAGGAUGGGACUGCGGCCUAUCAGCUUGUUGGUGAGGUAAUGGCCCACCAAGGCAAUUACAGGUACGGGCUCUGAGAGGAGAAGCCCGGAGAUGGGUACUGAGACAAGGACCCAGGCCCUAUGGGGCGCAGCAGGCGAGAAAACUUUGCAAUGUGCGAAAGCACGACAAGGUUAAUCCGAGUGAUUUCUGCUAAAGGAAUCUUUUACCAGUUCUAAAAAUACUGGCGAAUAAGGGGUGGGCAAGUUCUGGUGUCAGCCGCCGCGGUAAAACCAGCACCUCAAGUGGUCAGGAGGAUUAUUGGGCCUAAAGCAUCCGUAGCCGGCUCUGUAAGUUUUCGGUUAAAUCUAUAUGCUCAACGUAUAGGCUGCCGAAAAUACUGCACAGCUAGGGAAUGGGAGAGGUAGACGGUACUCGGUAGGAAGGGGUAAAAUCCUUUGAUCUAUCGAUGACCACCUGUGGCGAAGGCGGUCUACCAGAACAUGUUCGACGGUGAGGGAUGAAAGCUGGGGGAGCAAACCGGAUUAGAUACCCGGGUAGUCCCAGCUGUAAACGAUGCAGACUAGAUAAUGCACUGGCACAUAGCCAGUGCAGUGUCUCAGGGAAGCCGUUAAGUCUGCCGCCUGGGAAGUACGUACGCAAGUAUGAAACUUAAAGGAAUUGGCGGGGGAGCACCACAAGGGGUGAAGCCUGCGGUUCAAUUGGAUUCAACGCCGGG